AACGAACGUUAGCGGCGCGCUUAACACAUGCAAGUCGCACGAGAAAGGGCUUCGGCCCCGGUAAAGUGGCGCACGGGUGAGUAACACGUGGAUAACCUACCCUCGAGCAGGGGAUAACAUCCCGAAAGGGGUGCUAAUACCGCAUAAGACCACGGCUUCGAAAGGAGCUGAGGUAAAAGCUGGCCUCUAUAUAUAAGCUAGCGCUUGAGGACGGGUCCGCGGCGCAUCAGGUAGUUGGCGGGGUAAUGGCCCACCAAGCCUAAGACGCGUAGCUGGUCUGAGAGGAUGAUCAGCCACACUGGAACUGAGACACGGUCCAGACUCCUACGGGAGGCUGCCUCC
rnacentral:rRNA from 1 species